rnacentral:rRNA from 1 species
AGAGCGAACGCUGGCGGCAGGCCUAACACAUGCAAGUCGAGCGCCCGUAGCAAUACGGGAGCGGCAGACGGGAUAGUAACACGUGGGAACGCGCCCUUCGGUUCGGAAUAACUCAGGGAAACUUGAGCUAAUACCGGAUACGCCCUUACGGGGAAAGAUUUAUUGCCGAAGGAACGGCCCGCGUCCGAUUAGCUGGUUGGUGAGGUAAUGGCUCACCAAGGCGACGAUCGGUAGCUGGUCUGAGAGGAUGACCAGCAUCACUGGGACUGAGACACGGCCCAGACUCCUACGGGAGGCAGCAGUGGGGAAUAUUGGACAAUGGGCGCAAGCCUGAUCCAGCCAUGCCGCGUGGAUGAUGAAGGCCUUAGGGUUGUAAAGUCCUUUUAACGGGGAAGAUAAUGACGGUACCCGUAGAAUAAGCCCGGCUAACUUCGUGCCAGCAGCCGC